UACGAAGGGGGCUAGCGUUGCUCGGAAUCACUGGGCGUAAAGGGCGCGUAGGCGGCCAUUCAAGUCAGAGGUGAAAGCCCAAGGCUCAACCUUGGAACUGCCUUUGAUACUGUUUGGCUUGAGACCGGUAGAGGUAAGUGGAACUGCGAGUGUAGAGGUGAAAUUCGUAGAUAUUCGCAAGAACACCAGUGGCGAAGGCGGCUUACUGGACCGGUUCUGACGCUGAGACGCGAAAGCGUGGGGAGCAAACAGG
rnacentral:rRNA from 1 species